rfam:Physcomitrella patens subsp. patens PHYPAscaffold_234 genomic scaffold, whole genome shotgun sequence.
CAUGCAAGCGCGGAGCUCUUUUCAGUCCAGUAGCAGCUAAUGUCGAAGGUUGUACCGCUGCCGACUCAAACUUCCGGCUUCCAUAUCACGACGCGUGAUAUGGAAUCCGAAGGUCUGAUCCGGGAGCUGAUCGAUCUCCAGGUUAGCAUCUCUUGGACUGAAGGGAGCUCCUCCUUUCACAGGC